rnacentral:lncRNA from 1 species
AGAGUGAUACGGUGGCAAUGCCUCCGAUUGUGGAAAGAUCUUCUGCGCUGAACCCACUUUCCAUUUUACUAAUUCACGACCACCCAACACUAAAUCUUGAAUUAUUUUGGAGAUCCCAGAAUGCAUUUACCAGGGAGGUUGCUCUAUAUUACUAUCUAAAUCUUGAAUUAUUUUGGAGAUCCUAGAAUGUAUUUACCAGGGAGGUUGCUCUAUAUUACUUUUGUGUUUGAAGCAUUUGUUGUUCUGCUUUUGGGAUUUUCCUUUCCGAUGAACU